rfam:Bdellovibrionales bacterium RIFOXYB2_FTLL_36_6 rifoxyb2_full_scaffold_8249, whole genome shotgun sequence.
UAACAGGUGAAAGUCCUGUCUUAGCAAAUUGUCCGUUCCAGCUAAGUAGAUAUAUCUGACAUAUUAACCGGUAACGGGUAAUAUGAAAGCUCAGAUGUAAAAGGUCAG